GACGAACGCUGGCGGCGCGCCUAACACAUGCAAGUCGAACGAGAGAUGAGGAGCUUGCUCUUCAAAUCGAGUGGCGAACGGGUGAGUAACGCGUGAGGAACCUGCCUCAAAGAGGGGGACAACAGUUGGAAACGACUGCUAAUACCGCAUAAGCCCACGGCUCGGCAUCGAGCAGAGGGAAAAGGAGCAAUCCGCUUUGAGAUGGCCUCGCGUCCGAUUAGCUAGUUGGUGAGGUAAUGGCCCACCAAGGCGACGAUCGGUAGCCGGACUGAGAGGUUGAACGGCCACAUUGGGACUGAGACACGGCCCAGACUCCUACGGGAGGCAGCAGUGGGGAAUAUUGCACAAUGGGGGAAACCCUGAUGCAGCGACGCCGCGUGGAGGAAGAAGGUCUUCGGAUUGUAAACUCCUGUUGUUGAGGAAGAUAAUGACGGUACUCGACAAGGAAGUGACGGCUAACUACGUGCCAGCAGCCGCGGUAAAACGUAGGUCACAAGCGUUGUCCGGAAUUACUGGGUGUAAAGGGAGCGCAGGCGGGAGAACAAGUUGGAAGUGAAAUCCAUGGGCUCAACCCAUGAACUGCUUUCAAAACUGUUUUUCUUGAGUAGUGCAGAGGUAGGCGGAAUUCCCGGUGUAGCGGUGGAAUGCGUAGAUAUCGGGAGGAACACCAGUGGCGAAGGCGGCCUACUGGGCACCAACUGACGCUGAGGCUCGAAAGUGUGGGUAGCAAACAGGAUUAGAUACCCUGGUAGUCCACACCGUAAACGAUGAUUACUAGGUGUUGGAGGAUUGACCCCUUCAGUGCCGCAGUUAACACAAUAAGUAAUCCACCUGGGGAGUACGACCGCAAGGUUGAAACUCAAAGGAAUUGACGGGGGCCCGCACAAGCAGUGGAGUAUGUGGUUUAAUUCGACGCAACGCGAAGAACCUUACCAAGUCUUGACAUCCCUUGACGAUGCUGGAAACAGUAUUUCUCUUCGGAGCAAGGAGACAGGUGGUGCAUGGUUGUCGUCAGCUCGUGUCGUGAGAUGUUGGGUUAAGUCCCGCAACGAGCGCAACCCUUAUGGUCAGUUACUACGCAAGAGGACUCUGGCCAGACUGCCGUUGACAAAACGGAGGAAGGUGGGGAUGACGUCAAAUCAUCAUGCCCUUUAUGACUUGGGCUACACACGUACUACAAUGGCGUUAAACAAAGAGAAGCAAGACCGCGAGGUGGAGCAAAACUCAGAAACAACGUCCCAGUUCGGACUGCAGGCUGCAACUCGCCUGCACGAAGUCGGAAUUGCUAGUAAUCGUGGAUCAGCAUGCCACGGUGAAUACGUUCCCGGGCCU
rnacentral:rRNA from 1 species